rnacentral:rRNA from 1 species
CAAUAGCGUAUAUUAAAGUUGUUGCAGUUAAAAAGCUCGUAGUUGGAUUUCUGGUAGGAGUGACCGUGCCAGACUUGAUUGUCUGUGUAUUGUGUUGUCUCCAGCCAUCCUUGUGGAGAACUUUUCUUGCAUUAAUUUGUAGGGAUUGGGACCCGCAUCGUUUACUGUGAAAAAAUUAGAGUGUUUAAAGCAGGCAAUCGCUUGAAUACAUUAGCAUGGAAUAAUAAGAUAGGACUUUGGUACUAUUUUGUUGGUUUGUAUACCAAAUUAGUGAUCAACAGGAACAGUUUGAGGAUAUUCGUAUGAACAUGUCAGAGGUGAAAUUCUUGGAUUUUGAUCAGACGAACUACUGCGAAAGCAUUUAUCAAGGAUGUUUUCAUUAA